rnacentral:rRNA from 1 species
UACGUAGGGGGCAAGCGUUGUCCGGAUUUAUUGGGCGUAAAGAGCGUGUAGGCGGCCUGCCAAGUCUGCUGUGAAAACUCGAGGCUCAACCUCGAGAUGUCGGCGGAAACUGUCUGGCUAGAGUCCGGAAGAGGAGAGUGGAAUUCCUGGUGUAGCGGUGAAAUGCGCAGAUAUCAGGAAGAACACCGAUGGCGAAGGCAGCUCUCUGGGACGGUACUGACGCUGAGACGCGAAAGCGUGGGGAGCGAACAGG